AAGGUGGAUUUAUUAGUAAUUAUAUUUUAUUAUUAUUUGGUGAAGAGUGGAAUAACAUGUGUACAUAUUGCCCGUCGCUCUCGUUGUUAGUUGAGAUAAGUCGUAACAUAGUUGAUGUACUGGAAAGUGUAUCUUUUUGU
rnacentral:rRNA from 1 species